CCUACGGGAGGCAGCAGAGGGGAAUAUUGCACAAUGGGGGAAACCCUGAUGCAGCGACGCCGCGUGAGUGAAGAAGGAAUUCGUUAUGUAAAGCUCUAUCAGCAGGGAAGAAAAUGACGGUACCUGAGUAAGAAGCCCCGGCUAACUACGUGCCAGCAGCCGCGGUAAUACGUAGGGGGCAAGCGUUAUCCGGAUUUACUGGGUAGAAAGGGAGCGUAGACGGCAGUGCAAGUCUGGAGUGAAAGGCGGGGGCUCAACCCCCGGACUGCUCUGGAAACUGUACGGCUGGAGUGCAGGAGAGGUAAGUGGAAUUCCUAGUGUAGCGGUGAAAUGCGUAGAUAUUAGGAGGAACACCAGUGGCGAAGGCGGCUUACUGGACUGUAACUGACGUUGAGGCUCGAAAGCGUGGGGAGCAAACAGGAUUAGAUACCCCUGUAGUC
rnacentral:rRNA from 1 species